rnacentral:rRNA from 1 species
CCUACGGGUGGCUGCAGUGGGGAAUAUUGGACAAUGGGGGAAACCCUGAUCCAGCGACGCCGCGUGAGUGAAGAAGUAUUUCGGUACGUAAAGCUCUAUCAGCAGGAAAGAAAAUGACGGUACCUGACUAAGAAGCCCCGGCUAACUACGUGCCAGCAGCCGCGGUCAUACGUAGGGGGCAAGCGUUAUCCGGAUUUACUGGGUGCAAAGGGAGCGUAGACGGGUGCGCAAGUCUGGAGUGAAAUGCCGGGGCCCAACCCCGGAACUGCGCCGGAAACUGUGAGGCUUGAGUGCAGAAGAGGUGAGCGGAAUUCCUGGUGUAGCGGUGAAAUGCGUAGAUAUCAGGAGGAACACCGGCGGCGAAGGCGGCUUACUGGACUGUAACUGACGUUGAGGCUCGAAGGCGUGGGGAGCAAACAGGAUUAGAUACCCGGGUAGUC